rnacentral:rRNA from 1 species
UUCAGACCAGGCAAUCCAUCUGAAGCUAAGCAGGUUUGGGUCUGACCAGUACUUGGUUGGGAGACCAACUAGGAAAGCUGGGUUGCUGCUGGAA